rnacentral:lncRNA from 1 species
AUAGACAAUGGAUCUGACCUCACUGCUGUUCCAAUGUAUUGCUUUAUAUCAAUAGGGUCCAAAGGGAGAAAUGGGACCACCAGGGCCACAGGGGCCAAUGGGAAUAGGAUCAAUUGGACCCCCGGGUAGGGAUGGUACACAAGGAUUUUCUGGGAUUCCAGGUCAGGAUGGGAGUUCUGUAAGUUUGUUUAUUUAUUUAUUUAGUCCUCUCCAGCAAUGCUUUGCUCAUCCCCUCUAGCUUAUUCCCAUAUUGUGACAUGCACUCUGUCAUUAACAAAUUCACCCAAGCAUAUUGUCCGUAGUUCAUUGCUCUGCCAUCUAGAGACGGCAUCAAACAAACUUUCAUAAACUGCAGAGACAAAGGCAGCGAGAGUUUGUUGUCUUGCCAGAGCUCGUCUCAUUAAAAAAGCAAAGUUAGCAUUGUCUGUUCUCACAUCAGAUGUUAAUUACUUGAGGCUUUGUCGCAGAGAGCUUGAGGAGCGAAGCCAGAGACAGACUCGGGUCAUAUCUGACUCUGCCUGGAUCCCUAACAGCAACACAUUGUCAGCUUGCAUCACGUCACCUGUCGCUGCUCCUCCCCGAUCCACACUCAUCUCGCUGGCCCUGAAGAGUUACACACAAUAAUACUGUCUAACUGAGCCUUUAUGUGUGUGUGUGUUUCUCCUUGUCUUUCAGGGAGCCACUGGGCCUAAGGGUGACAAGGGUGAACCAGGAGAGUGCAACUGUUUGAAUAAUAUGUCCCCUGGAACUGGCGGACCUGGGGUCCCAGGUGGUGAGAACAGGUGGCAGUCUGGUCCUCAGGGGCCUCCUGGACCACCAGGCCCUCCAGGUCCCCCAGGGCCACAAGGCUUUACAGGAAUCCCCGGCCCACACCCUCCAGUUUUUCUGCCUCAGGAUUCAGCUUCCACAGACACGGAGGGCUGUGGUGAUUGCUCCACGGGCCUACCUGGUGUGCCCGGCAAGGUUGGCUCUAAAGGCGAGAAGGGAGAUCAGGGCAAGCCUGGGGUUGUACCCUCAGAAGGAUGCGAACGGUGUCUACAGCCUCAGAGACCACAGAGAGAAGAAACACCAAGUGUGCCUACGAGUAACAGUGGUCAGUGCGUUGGUGCACCAGGGAUGCCUGGAUUCCCAGGGGACCCAGGGGUCAAAGGAGAGCCGGGUCCUAGAGGUGAGCGAGGACCUCCUGGUCUUCCUGGAACCCCGGGCAAUAUUGGUUUCCCUGGUCCUCAAGGGCCUCCUGGACUGUCUGUAAGUCAAAGCAUGCCAACUCACGAUCAGCUCAGACAAACACCGUAGAUGUUUA